CCUUCGGGAGCCAUUACAGGUGUUGCAUGGCUGUCGUCAGCUCGUGUCGUGAGAUGUUCGGUUAAGUCCGCUAACGAGCGCAACCCUCGCUGUGUGUUAUAUGUGUCACACAGGACUGCUGGUAUUAAGCCGGAGGAAGGUGGGGACGACGUCAAGUCAGCAUGACCUUUAUAUCCAGGGCUACACACACGCUACAAUGGUCAGUACAAUGGGUUGCCAAGCCGCGAGGCGGAGCCAAUCCUAAAAAGCUGGCCUCAGUUCAGAUUGCAGUCUGAAACUCGACUGCAUGAAGUCGGAGUUGCUAGUAAACGCAGGUCAGCUAUACUGCGUUGAAUACGUUCCCGGGGCUU
rnacentral:rRNA from 1 species